rnacentral:lncRNA from 1 species
CAGACGACGGAAAGUUUUUUUGCACGCAGCCCUUCCAGCUUGUCCUUCCCUCGUCGGCUCCGUGGCGUCCACGGUGAGGCGCCCCCCGCCGAGACCCCCGGCGGCCCAGUGGGGAGGAGCCGGGCAGGGUUUUCCCUCUACGAGCAUCCCAAGCCAGGAGGGACCCUGGCAAUGACCUCUCCUCCCAGCCACCGUUCCCUUCUCCCUUUCUUUCCUGUCACGGUGGACCUUGGGACCGUGGAGGAUUCCGCGGAUGCCUUUGGGAGCUGAGACCCAUGGGUAGAUGGAAGUGGUUCUAAAAUGCAGAGAGCUGUGAUAACACAAGGGAGUCAUGUCAACCUUGUCUCAUGCACCAGCUGAACUCGGUGACACUAGCAACUUGGAUCCCGACAGGCGGGGUGUUAUGACUGCACCAUCAGGGCUGGACCCCACUGCUCUGAAGGUGCUUCGUGUGCAGUGUGGGGCAGCUUGACCUGAGCGAAAGCAGCAAAUGCGCCUCGAGUUGGAACCCCAGCCAGAGUCAGUAACACAGUGGUUCUCAAACUUCAGCCUGUGUCUGAGUCACCUGCAGAACGUGUUAAAACAUGGAGUCUUAUAACCACUUCCCCCAGAGACUCUGAUUCAGUCAGUCUAGGGCAGGGAUGGAGAUUUUGCAUUUCUAGAAGUUCCUAAGUGCUGCUGGUUGGGAGAUCACACUUUGAAAAUUACAAGCCUGCUCCAGACCCUUGACUUAGAAAGCUCUUCCUCUCUAGGUCUUCUGUGCUCUAAAGGACUUCAGAGCUGCGGAGAAAAGUGAAUGGAAGCCAAGAGAUGGAAACAACUACAGCAUGCAUCAACAGCCUCAGAGAGCUGUUUGCUGGAAAAACGUAUGAAGAUUUUGACUUGGUGGGAAGCAGACCUCCCCACCACAGAAAGAAGGUGGCUAUAUCCACGCUCUUUUCUCCAGCCCCUCUUUGUGUCUCCUGUCUCCCAACACCUGAAGAGCCGGCUCCAGGCGAAGCCAGAGAAAGCUAUUUGCAGAGUGUAUGGGAGGAAAAGGAACAGAGACAGGCCCCUGCUAAGCUAUGGAGCUCAGUUUUGACUCCUGCAAGCAGAAAAGGGUUGGUGCAUGUCCCCAUGUACUUGUAUUUGGUCCCAUCGAUUGAGAUCUUGGGGAUGAAAAACUGCUGUGAGUUCAGUAAUGUUUUUAAGUAACUACCUAUGUAUUCUAUUGAUUACAAUAGGGUCCACGUCAAGUUCAAAAAUAGUAGUAAAAAUCUG